rnacentral:rRNA from 1 species
GACGAACGCUGGCGGCGUGCUUUACACAUGCAAGUCGAACGGUGAAGGUGGAGCUUGCUCCGCCGGAUCAGUGGCGAACGGGUGAGUAACACGUGGGCAACCUGCCCCUAACUUUGGGAUAACUACUCGAAAGAGUAGCUAAUACCGGAUAUGAAGUCUGUAGGCAUCUAUGGAUUUGGAAAGUUUUUCGGUUAGGGAUGGGCCCGCGGCCUAUCAGCUUGUUGGUGAGGUAGUGGCUCACCAAGGCGACGACGGGUAGCCGGCCUGAGAGGGCGACCGGCCACACGGGGACUGAGACACGGCCCAGACUCCUAGGGGAGGCAGCAGUGGGGAAUAUUGCGCAAUGGGCGAAAGCCUGACGCAGCAACGCCGCGUGCGGGAUGAAGGCCUUCGGGUUGUAAACCGCUUUCAGCAGGGAAGAAGCGAAAGUGACGGUACCUGCAGAAGAAGCACCGGCUAACUACGUGCCAGCCGCCACGGUAA